rnacentral:rRNA from 1 species
CAAACGACUCUCGGCAACGGAUAUCUCGGCUCAYGCAUCGAUGAAGAACGUAGCMAAAUGCGAUACUUGGUGUGAAUUGCAGAAUCCCGUGAACCAUCGAGUUUUUGAACGCAAGUUGCGCCCGAAGCCAUUCGGCCGAGGGCACGUCUGUCUGGGCGUCACGC